CUUCCCAACUGCUAGCGCACCUCUGCCUGCCUUCUCCCCUCGUAAGAAGUGUUAUCGGUAACGAUCUAUGUAACAAAGAGCCAAAGCGUGGGGAACCCCUUUUUCAACUGGACCAACAUGGGAACUGACAUAUUCAACAGCAGUACU